AGGACACAUGAACACCCACACGUUGAACGCAUAUUGCACAUCGUACCUCCAGUACGAUGUACACAUUUUUGAGUGCCUAUAUUUAUACAUUCAACUAUA
rnacentral:rRNA from 1 species